rnacentral:tRNA from 1 species
GUGUCUGUAACCUAGUUGGUAAAGGCAACAUUCUAGUAAGCUGUGAUUGUGAUUUCAAAUCUCACCAGAAACA